rnacentral:rRNA from 1 species
CCGGGAACUCAAAGGAGACUGCCAGUGAUAAACUGGAGGAAGGUGGGGAUGACGUCAAGUCAUCAUGGCCCUUACGACCAGGGCUACACACGUGCUACAAUGGCGCAUACAAAGAGAAGCGACCUCGCGAGAGCAAGCGGACCUCAUGAAGUGCGUCGUAGUCCGGAUUGGAGUCUGCAACUCGACUCCAUGAAGUCGGAAUCGCUAGUAAUCGUGGAUCAGAAUGCCACGGUGAAUACGUUCCCGGGCCUU